AUGUCGGCCGCGGGGAAGGCGAAGGCGAGCGGCGGCAAGCGGGGCGGGGCCAAGGACCCCGACGAGGCGCCCCGGUCCGACAAGAGGCGGCGCGACAUGGACGACUCCGACCCCGAGCUCGAGCUCGACAGCGACUUCAAGCAGAUCGUGACGAUGCUGCGCCACAUCAAGGACAAGGCUCACAAGGACGGCCAGAAGAAGACCGAGCAGGCCAUCUCCAGUGUUGCAACAGAGAUUCAAUCUAUGGUACAGGACACCAAGACAAAGUUUGAGAAGGAAAGCAGGCAGAAUGUUCUUAAAGCUCUAACGAAGGCUUCCAAAGAGUGUGAAGGUUCAUUGAAGACCGAGUACACCAAGUUUCAAGCCACUCAUGACAAGUUCUCCAAAGACAAGGCUGCACACGUACAGAAUUUCAAAGAUCUUUUCUCAAAGUUUGAAGUUGAAAAGGAGAAACUGAUAGUUCAGUAUGAACUGCAAAGGAAGAAGGAAAAGACUACUCUUGCUGAUCUUGAGAAAACAGUUUCGGAGAAGAUAACAGAUGCAGAGGAAUCUCUGAAGAAGUUGAAGCAGGGUGACAAAUCCAUCAUCAAGCUUCGCAAGUCCUUUGCCUCGUUCCUGAGCCCCGACGACGAGGAGGACUGA
rnacentral:rRNA from 1 species